rnacentral:misc_RNA from 1 species
GAUGAAGAACGCAGCGAAAUGCGAUACGUAAUGUGAAUUGCAGAAUUCAGUGAAUCAUCGAAUCUUUGAAAGCACAUUGCGCCCGCCAGCACUCUGGCGGGCAUGCCUGUUCGAGCGUCAUUUCAACCAUCAAGCCCCAGGCUUGCGUUGGAGCCCUGCGGCUGCCGCAGCCUCCUAAAAGCAGUGGCGGGCUCGCUAUCACACCGAGUGCAGUAGAUUACUCUUCGCUCAGGGCGUGCAGCGGGUUCCGGCCGUGAAACCCCCUACUUUUAAAGGUUGACCUCGGAUCAGGUAGGAAUACCCGCUGAACUUAAGCAUAUCAAUAAGCGGAGGA